rnacentral:tRNA from 1 species
UAAAAAGUAAGCUAAUUUUAAGCUGUUGAGCUCAUAACUCAAUAAUGAAUCUUUUCCUUUUUAA